UGUUUGUGUGCAUGUAAGCGCAUGCAUCCAUAGUGUAUGUGAGGAGGUCUGAAGACAACUUGUGGAACUCACUCACUUCUCUCCUUUUACUAUGGGAUACAGGAUUAAGUGGUGACUAAGUUUCAUUAAAGAAAAAACUUCUUCAGUUUCACCUGGAAGGAUGUUGUCCCUGCACUCGUGAUACUGGCUUUGAAAACAAGGAUGCCAGAGACCCAGAUAUCAGUGUUCCUUCUUUUGGCGUCUUGCUUGCUUGAAAUGUGAACCCUUAUUUCUGCUGCAAUGCCUCUGCUCUGUGGUCAUGGACUCAACUCCUCUGAAACUGAAGAUUAGUACAGAAUUAUUGGAAGAAGACAAAAAAGAAUGUUUCUUGAAGAGUUGAUAUGCAUCCUAAAGACUGAACUUUCAAAUAAGCAACAAGGAGAUGGUAUAAAGUACUCUACCAGGCAUG